AUAAUACCUACAAUUGCAGGCCCCGUUGGGUUAAAAGGGAAGACGGUGAAAAUCCGUCGCGGUCCCGCCGCUGUGACCGGGGACGAAACCAGCAGGAGGCCACUGGCUCGAUAAACGGGCUGGGAAGGCGCUGGGAGUAGAAAGAGCCGGGAGUCAGAAGACCUGCCUGUGUAAAUAAGGAGAU
rnacentral:ncRNA from 2 species